UUCAGUAAUCACUGAAUAGCAAUUCACAAUUCUUUUUAAUAUAUUUUUUUGUUUACUUUUCAGGCUAGUUUCAUCUCCAUGCUUAAUUACCACACACGCCUGGUGGUUGCUAUCACAGAGAAUUCAAGGGCGAUGUUCACUCAACUCAGUAUUGACUUCCUGAGUGAACAGUUGUCUUCCAUGAUAACCUGCUGCUCCUGCUUUCUGGACCUUGGAAACUUCCUAAAUUCUUGUGAAGUCCUAUCCAACUUGUCCAGCCUACUGAAAAGCAUUGAGUGGGCGACAGAAAAAUCUAUCCAACACUCUCAUCAGUAGAAAAGAAUGUAGACCCUUCACCUAUGUAUUUACAGACCCAGCGUAAGUUUGUACUGGUAUCUUUAUUGUGCAAAUUUUAUUCACAAAUGUC
rnacentral:lncRNA from 1 species